rnacentral:rRNA from 1 species
AGCAGCCGCGGUAAUUCCAGCUCCAAUAGCGUAUAUUAAAGUUGUUGCAGUUAAAAAGCUCGUAGUUGAAUUUCGGGAUCAUCAGGUUGGUCGUGCCUCUGGUAUGUACUUUCCUCGAUGGUUCCUCCUUCUUGAAGAACCGUAAUGCCAUUAAUUUGGUGUUGCGGGGAAGCAGGACUGUUACUUUGAAAAAAUUAGAGUGUUUAAAGCAGGCAAUCGCUUGAAUACAUUAGCAUGGAAUAAUGAAAUAGGACGUUCGAUCCUAUUUUGUUGGUUUCUAGGAUUGACGUAAUGAUUAAUAGGGAUAGUUGGGGGCAUUAGUAUUCAAUUGUCAGAGGUGAAAUUCUUGGAUUUAU